CCCUUAGAUGUUCUGGGCCGCACGCGCGCUACACUGACGAAUGCAACGAGCUUAUAACCUUGGCCGAAAGGUCUGGGUAAUCUCCAAAUUUCGUCGUGAUGGGGAUAGAUUAUUGCAAUUAUUAAUCUUCAACGAGGAAUGCCUAGUAAGCGCAAGUCAUCAGCUUGCGUUGAUUACGUCCCUGCCCUUUGUACACGCCGCCCGUCGCUCCUACCGAUUGAAUGGUCCGGUGAAGCGUUCGGACCGUGGCCUUUGGACGGUUCGCCGUCUGUUGGCUGCGGGAAGUUCGUUAAACCUUAUCAUUUAGAGGAAGGAGAANUCGUANCA
rnacentral:rRNA from 1 species